rnacentral:snRNA from 1 species
ACGCACUCUCGGUACAUAUACACUAAAAUUGAAACGAUACAAAGAAGAUUAGCAUGGCCCCUGCACAAGAGUGACAUGCAAAAUCGUGAAGCGUUCCAUAUUUUU